UGACGACUUCACGUUUGCCAUUACCUGCCAAGAGACCACCCGGCCUAUCCCCAAGUUUGGAGAGACACUGUCAUGCUCGUUUGAUAAUAUCAAGUUCCCGACUUCAAAGGGGAAUUGUCCAGCACCUGGAGUAUUCGUCAUUAACACCAAAGGCACCGGUCUGAUGAUAGACACAGGCCUAACAUGGGAAACAAAAGGCUAUGCACCCCGAUUAGAAUCAAUGUAUCGUUCUACUGAUGGUCACGUGAUUCAGGCUGCAUUUGAUGGAUGGUGUGGCCGCUAUGUUCCUUCCGAUACUAUGUAUCUGAUGGCCGACAGUCACGGAGAACAAAGAGGGACGGCAUCUAUUCCGAUUUGUCCUGAUUUGUGAGAAGUCAACAGAUCCCACAAUACAAAUUCAUUCUUCGGAGUCGCAUCAAAGUUGUAAGCCUAGCACAAGAAACCUGCAAUGCGCAACCUGGAAUAUGUGUGGUGUCUUAGAACAAGGACAAUGAUUCUUAAAAGGAUACAAAUGAUGUUUUGAAGAGUACAUCCUUUGAGGAAUAAAACAUGGCGUAUUUAUUCGAUAAAUUAACUCGUAUUGCAUUUUGAUUAUGUCUAAAGGCGGAAGAGUGACGGUGAACCGCCUAUCAUGUGGAAUAGUUAGUACUUAGCAGGGCCACAAUUAUGAAUCACGUGAUUUGUGUGGAAGCGACACAAUAGAGGUCCAAGUCACGUGAUAAAUUUCAAAUAUGACAAAGUGAGGACCUUCGUCAUUACAUAUGAUUAUAUUAUGAUAUUAACAACGAAAGCGUACGGGCUGAUGUUACAAUGUUAUACUCAUGUUUCCAUUGAUAACGCCAUGUUUAUGCCUUUAUCUAGCGUGUAAUAUUAUGUAAUCAUAUUCAUCCUUACAUGACACGUCCCACAUGAAUAAUUGGCAAGCUUUGCCCUGGGAUGUUCGGCAAUUUGUCCGACAGCAUGAUUGUGUAACGUUGCAUAACAUUUUUUCUAAGAAUAAUCUCCGGAAUAUUCCUCCAUUU